AAGAAGAAUUUGCAGUAUUGAAUCGUUCGUAGAAAACCCCGAUAGAAAACAAACAGCAAGAACAUUCUAAGGUUAGUAGAUUCGGGGGCUAAUCGUCUAGAGAUUGGGGGCUAAUCGUCCAAAGACUGGGGGCUAAUCGUCCGGGGCAAAUUGUCUUUGGGGCGAGUUGUCUG